UACGUAGGGCGCAAGCGUUAUCCGGAAUUAUUGGGCGUAAAGAGCUCGUAGGCGGUUUGUCGCGUCUGCCGUGAAAGUCCGGGGCUCAACUCCGGAUCUGCGGUGGGUACGGGCAGACUAGAGUGCAGUAGGGGAGACUGGAAUUCCUGGUGCAGCGGUGAAAUGCGCAGAUAUCAGGAGGAACACCGAUGGCGAAGGCAGGUCUCUGGGCUGUAACUGACGCUGAGGAGCGAAAGCAUGGGGAGCGAACAGG
rnacentral:rRNA from 1 species